rnacentral:rRNA from 1 species
CCUACGGGAGGCAGCAGUGAGGAAUAUUGGACAAUGGGCGCAAGCCUGAUCCAGCCAUGCCGCGUGCAGGAAGAAGCAUCUAUGGUGUGUAAACUGCUUUUGUACAGGAAGAAACACUCCCUCGUGAGGGAGCUUGACGGUACUGUAAGAAUAAGGACCGGCUAACUCCGUGCCAGCAGCCGCGGUAAUACAGAGGGUCCGAGCGUUAUCCGGAAUCAUUGGGUUUAAAGGGUCCGUAGGCGGUUUAAUAAGUCAGUGGUGAAAUCUGGUCGCUCAACGAUCAAACGGCCAUUGAUACUGUUAGACUUGAAUUAUAAGGAAGUAACUAGAAUAUGUAGUGUAGCGGUGAAAUGCUUAGAUAUUACAUGGAAUACCAAUUGCGAAGGCAGGUUACUACUUAUGGAUUGACGCUGAUGGACGAAAGCGUGGGGAGCGAACAGGAUUAGAUACCCUGGUAGUCCACGCCGUAAACGANAGAUAUANUGUGUAGNAUACUGAGUGNGUAGACGAAGUAG